rnacentral:rRNA from 1 species
UACGUAGGGUGCGAGCGUUGUCCGGAAUUACUGGGCGUAAAGAGCUCGUAGGUGGUUUGUCGCGUUGUUCGUGAAAACCGGGGGCUUAACCCUCGGCGUGCGGGCGAUACGGGCAGACUUGAGUACUGCAGGGGAGACUGGAAUUCCCAGUGUAGAGGUGGAAUUCGUAGAUAUUGGGAAGAACACCGGUGGCGAAGGCGGCCAUCUGGACCGCAACUGACGCUGAGGAGCGAAAGCAUGGGGAGCGAACAGG